rnacentral:tRNA from 1 species
AUUCAGAUAGCUUAACUAGAGCAAGAUAUUGAAGAUAUCUCGGUAAUAUGUAAUAUUUUUGAAUA